CAGCUGGGAUUAUAAGCAUGCACUACCACGCCCGGCUAGUUUUUGUAUUUUCAGUAGAGAUGGGGUUUCACCAUGGGUGAUAUUUCCAAGGAAGCAAAACCAUGAAGUGUAGAACCACCAUGCUGUUUUCACUACACUGCUGUUAGAAAACUAGACAUUUGGAUGGAAGAACAUGCUGUGCUCUGAAGAACCAAGAACGGUAAGCUGGCCUGUCUUCGAAAGCCUGGACUCUAAGAAGUAAAGCUCUGGAUUUAUGGGCAGCCAUGUCCCCUAUCACUGGGUCUUUGGAGAGAGGAUGUGGACAUGAGAGGUGGAGAGACUCCUGUCUACAUUUGGAUUCCUCUGGUCAGUUGUUCCUGUGGCUCCACUGCCUUUCUCUUCCUUCAGUAUUACUGUAUUCUAAUAACCUAAUAGAUCCUUAUAUCUUCCCUUUCAACUCAAGCUAAUUAAGUUUCUGUUUUUUGCAAAGCAAAAUGUUCCAAGUCAUAACACAUGACUUAAGCUCCAGAUAUAGUGCCCUGAAUAAGGGUGGAGUAAUCAUAAUACUGAAUCUCCAGGUGGCCAUGUCUAAACUUUGCCUUGGCCACACAAAUGUGGUCAGCGUGGUCAUUUCCAGGCUCAACUUUCUGAAGAUAAUGGUCAAGAAACAGAAGUCUCUGAGGAAGAGCAGGUAGCUGUUUAGAAAUGUUUAAAGGGUUGCCAUGUAUAUGUCAAAGUAGAUGUUCUAUGUUGCUCCAAAGGGCAAAACUGAUACCAAUAGUCAAAAGUUGGAAUGCAGAUUUUGACUGAAUAUGAAAAUUGUGUGUGUAAGUAUUAGAAUUAUCAAAUAAAGGAAUGGAUGACCUA